GGGGGUGUAGCUCAGCUGGUUAGAGCGCCUGCCUGUCACGCAGGAGGCCGCGGGUUCGAGUCCCGUCACUCCCGCCA
rnacentral:tRNA from 4 species